UUUCCUUUGAAAUCACGAUCGGCAGGGUAUCCAUGAAGCUUCCAACAAUCCGAUCUUUUAUGACCCGUCUUUCCACAGUAGUCGCAAAGAACCCUAGGUCCUCUCCCUUGCCGCCCGUCUCCUGCAUAAUAUGCCGCAGACUCCAGUUGUUCACUUCUUCCUCCUUGUGUCAUCGACCAGCGCAACUCCUCAUCGGCAACUUGCGCAAAGGCUCUGUUCAGUGUAGGCAGAGGAUCCAUAUUCAGGAUUUGCGAUCUUACCGUUGCAAAAAUUUCGGAGUCCAGACCCAUCAGAAACUGAUGAAGUUUCUCGACUUCCUUAUUCCUAGCCAUCUGGUCUACGGCUCCACAGGUGCAGCCACCGCAAGUACACUCUGCUGUCUCGAGGUUGCAUAUACCUGUUUUAAUCUGCUGAACCCUGGGAGCAUUACCUCGUGCGAAUUGUUGCUCGAUUUCAUCCCACAUCAUCUUGGCAUCAUUGGCAUGCACAACUGCUCCUUGCAAACUCUUAUCGAGCGAGUUGAAAAUCCAUGAACAAAUCAUCGAGUUGUUGAUCUUCCACAACUGGAACUCUGGCCUCGUCGGGUUGGGUUGCUUCAAAGAUCCAUCAAUAAAUCCGGUCUUGUUCUUAGCCUCGAGUGCUCUAAUCGUGGCCUUCGCCCAGGUCUGAUAGUUCUGUCCAUUGAGAACCACAGGGACGAGAGCUGUGCCCGGGUUAUCUGAGUGACUCACAAAAUAGGGUGAAGUCACGUCCAUUGGCUUCUUAUCUGCCAUGGCUCUAUUCUCUUGUCUCUCCUUCUUCAAGGCUCUGAUACCAUAUUAAGUUCGACAAUAGGUCGAACUAGGAUAGAGGAACAACUGGUAAAGAACACAAUCUGUGUAUUAUUCCUCACACUUUUUGUUCAAGUCCAUACGCAUAUAUAUACAUUCUUCCUUUUCAUGUACGAGAAGAAAGACUCAAUAAGGAAAGAUAGUACAAAAGAUGGAAAAGAAUGAUCUAGAAUAAAGAGUACUUGGAAAGAUGAAAUUGUCAUGAUCUCAUUAAAAAUCUUUCCUAAACUAUAUGAAUCCUCAUUAUUGGCCUACGGCAAUAAGCCUCGUUGAUCCUUCGUGCCAUUUCGAUCAACAUUUUCUCACGGUCUGUCCAUCCCGUUGUUCUCUACUUGGCGUCGCUUCUUUCAAACGUUCUAUGAAUUAAUAUAAUCAUUUCUCAAUUGGACUAUUAAUAUUAUUAUUAUUAUUAUUAUUAUUGUUUGUUUAUGCGAGCUUCUAUAGAUAUAUGUACUGUGGAAUCAUUUGCUUCAUUGCAGUGCAUUGAUUAUAAGCCUUUCUUACUUGAUCUCCUUCUCGGGUAGAAUGGUUUUGCAUGGCAGUUUGGGGGUCAUUUUCCAAUCUAGAAUGGGAAUAAAGAAUGACUUCUCUUUGGGUUACAAGUGGGCAUUCAGGAUGGUUUAGAUGUAAUGCCUUAUUUGAGCAAUACGUCGUUAUGUUAUUUGGACAAUUAAGAUUCGUUUGCUAAUGAUGGCUUAUGUUGUUGCAAAUGUCGAUGUAAGGGGGGAACAAGUAACUUGGCGUCUCUUAAUUGGUAAAAUAAAGCUGCAAGCAUUAGCUCUUGGUCACCUUUGUUAUCUAUGUCACAUGAUAACUACCUGCGCUCUUCAACUACUCUCUCUAGGCAAUCGUGUCCUCAUCAACCGAUGGUUUGCAUCAGAGUGAACAUUGUUAGUAGCACACUACAAACAACACUUCUUUGCUAUUGUAACCUUUAGACAGAUCAAGCACAUAAUGACUGGACAUAGAGUGCACGUUAGAGGUGACUCUCUUGCCAGUCCUCAUCUCUUUGAUGUCAAUUUCUAUAUUACGGAUAUUCAAUUUCAUAGUUGUCUUGAAUUUUUAGCCGUUAUGAUCAGCCUUCUGAAUUCAUGUACAGUAUCCAUCAGAUAUAUAUUGAAGUUAAAUAUUGGGAUAUCCAUCAGCCUUC